CAGCAGCCGCGGUAAGACAGAGGAUGCAAGCAUUAUCCGGAAUGAUUGGGCGUAAAGUGUCUGUAGGUGGCUUUUCAAGUCCGCCGUCAAAUCCCAGGGCUCAACCCUGGACAGGUGGUGGAAACUACCAAGCUGGAGUAUGGUAGGGGCAGAGGGAAUUUCCGGUGGAGCGGUGAAAUGCAUUGAGAUCGGAAAGAACACCAACGGCGAAAGCACUCUGCUGGGCCGACAUUGACACUGAGAGACGAAAGCUAGGGGAGCAAAUGGGAUUAGAUACCCCUGUAGUCCCUGUCUCUUAUAC
rnacentral:rRNA from 1 species